CCUACGGGAGGCAGCAGUAGGGAAUAUUGCUCAAUGGGGGAAACCCUGAAGCAGCAACGCCGCGUGGAGGAUGAAGGUUUUCGGAUUGUAAACUCCUUUUGUUAGAGAAGAGAAUGACGGUAUCUAACGAAUAAGCACCGGCUAACUCCGUGCCAGCAGCCGCGGUAAUACGGAGGGUGCAAGCGUUACUCGGAAUCACUGGGCGUAAAGAGCGCGGAGGCGGGAUAGCAAGUCAGAUGUGAAAUCCUAGGGCUUAACCAUAGAACUGCAUUUGAAACUGUUAUUCUAGAGUAUGGGAGAGGUAGGUGGAAUUCUUGGUGUAGGGGUCAAAUCCGUAGAGAUCAAGAGGAAUACUCAUUGCGAAGGCGACCUGCUAGAACAUAACUGACGCUGAUGCGCGAAAGCGUGGGGAGCAAACAGGAUUAGAUACCCUAGUAGUC
rnacentral:rRNA from 1 species